UUUUUAUGAAAUUUUGGAGUU
ensembl:piRNA 21ur-12624 ncRNA